AUUUUAAUUAAAAAAUACAAAAAUCAAAUAUUUGCAACACAAUGAAUAAGGUUCUCGUGCUAAAAAUUGCAACUCUGCUACCAAUAGUUUCAUGCAAGCUGCAUAUUUAUUGAACGCAGCAUGGAAAGCUAAAUUUGACAGCUACCUAACAGCUGAAAGGAACAAAAGUCGAAAAGUAUGGAUAUACUUAUUUGAAAGUGUGACUCUAAUAUCAUCACGUGCAAAAUAGUAUUUUCACACAUGCAUUUUUAGACUGGCAAUUUUGGUUUUCUAACUGUCAUGAAUGUCAACAUAAUGUAUAUAAUAAAAAUGUAUAUAUUUGACAAUGGUUAAAAAAAAAAGUUCAAUGGCCUAUAGGAAUAUGAUAGAAUUAAAUCUGUAUAUCCCAAGUUUCUCACAGAAAGAUAAGGAUUGAAAACCCAUUCCCGAGUCAGCUAAAAUAAAAUUAUUAAAAGUGGUUAGCAGUAUUGAUUACUAAAAAUUCAUUGUUUUUUUAAUUUAAUUUUUAGGUGCUGCAUCAUACCGAAUGAAAAGAGCGCAACAGAAGCUUACAGCUGUCGUUCAAACAAACGGAGUUGCCUAUUUGAAAGAAAAAAUAAGAAUCUGCAACACAAUGCUAAUAAAAAUGAAUGAAUGAUAUGGCAAGCUCAAAGAACUUUUUCUGUUGAACUAUGAAAGGACAUUGCUUGCAUGCUUUUACGCCCGGCAUAUAACAAAUAUGCUUUGAAAUUGUACAAGGUGUAGUUGAAUAUAUAAAAAUUAAACAUUGCAGGGGGGUUCGGAAAAUCAGAAAUGAUAGUAAGAUUUUACUAGACGUACUCCAAUUGGACAAAAGUCAUUGCAAUGUGGAUAUUGAUUUGACGUAUGUAUAUGUAUUAUAUUUCCACAUAUUCUCAGAAUUUUUAAGCAUUAUAAUUAUAAAACCAAUAGCAUUUCGCCUUAAAUGAUAUUUGAGUGUAUGUAAGUAUGACUUAUCCUCAAAAUCUAUCAAUUUUUAUUAUAAUU